rnacentral:rRNA from 1 species
GCAGGACGAAAGUCUGACGCUGUAGACGCCUCGUGAGGGACGAAGGUCUUCGGAUUGUAAACCUCUUUCAGCAGGGACGAAGCGAAAGUGACGGUACCUGCAGAAGAAGCACCGGCUAACUAUGUGCCAGCAGCCGCGGUAAUACAUAGGGUGCAAGCGUUGUCCGGAUUUAUUGGGCGUAAAGAGUUCGUAGGCGGUUUCUCGCGUCGGAUGUGAAAACUCAGAGCUCAACCCUGAGCCUGCAUUCGAUACGGGGAAACUUGAGGACGGCAGGGGAGACUGGAACUCCUGGUGUAGCGGUGGAAUGCGCAGAUAUCAGGAAGAACACCAAUGGCGAAGGCAGGUCUCUGGGCCGAUUCUGACGCUGAGGAACGAAAGCGUGGGGAGCAAACAGGAUUAGAUACCCUGGUAGUCCACGCUGUAAACGAUGGACGCUAGGUGUGGGGAACAUUCCACGUUCUCUGCGCCGCAGCUAACACAUUAAGCGUCCCGCCUGGGGAGUACGANCGCC